rnacentral:rRNA from 1 species
UGCAUCACAGACCUGUUAUUGCCUCAAACUUCCAUCAACUUGAGUUGAUAGUCUCUCUAAGAAGCCGGCGACCAACCAAAGUUAGCCUGGCUAUUUAGCAGAGUAAGGUCUCGCUCGUUAUCGCAAUUAAGCAGACAAGUCACCCCACGAACUAAGAACGGCCAUGCACCACCACCUGAAAAAUCAAGAAAGAGCUCUCAAUCUGUCAAUCCUUAUUUCAUCUGGACCUGGUGAGUUUCCCCGUGUUGAGUCAAAUUAAGCCGCAGGCUCCACGCCUGGUGGUGACCUUCCGUCAAUUCCUUUAAGUUAAGGGGUGACCUGCGGAGGGAUCAUUACACAAAUAUGAAGGCGGGCUGGAACCUCUCGGGGUUACAGCCUUGCUGAAUUAUUCACCCUUGUCUUUUGCGUACUUCUUGUUUCCUUGGUGGGUUCGCCCACCACUAGGACAAACAUAAACCUUUUGUAAUUGCAAUCAGCGUCAGUAACAAAUUAAUAAUUACAACUUUCAACAACGGAUCUCUUGGUUCUGGCAUCGAUGAAGAACGCAGCGAAAUGCGAUAAGUAGUGUGAAUUGCAGAAUUCAGUGAAUCAUCGAAUCUUUGAACGCACAUUGCGCCCUUUGGUAUUCCAAAGGGCAUGCCUGUUCGAGCGUCAUUUGUACCCUCAAGCUUUGCUUGGUGUUGGGCGUCUUGUCUCUAGCUUUGCUGGAGACUCGCCUUAAAGUAAUUGGCAGCCGGCCUACUGGUUUCGGAGCGCAGCACAAGUCGCACUCUCUAUCAGCAAAGGUCUAGCAUCCAUUAAGCCUUUUUUUCAACUUUGACCUCGGAUCAGGUAGGGAUACCCGCUGAACUUAAGCAUAUCAUAGGC